rnacentral:lncRNA from 1 species
UGAUUACGUGCGUAAAAUAAUUUAUUACAAAACCAAAGGUUGAAGUUGAUGAGCUAUAAAUAGAAAAAGUGUAUAUUUAAUGUUUAAUGUCAAUGUCAAGAAUACUUAAUUAUUAUAAUUAUUAACCAAAACCAAGAUACUGUACUAUGAUGUGCUGUACUCAGCUGUAGAAUAUUCCAGUAUUACUUCGUUUUUGUUUCUAUGGCGGUGUCAUAUCAAUCGAGUUUUCGAGACAGCAGUAUUGGC